rnacentral:rRNA from 1 species
AUUAGCUAGUUGGUGAGGUAACGGCCCACCAAGGCAUCGAUCAGUAUCCGGCCUGAGAGGGCGGACGGACACACUGGGACUGAGACACGGCCCAGACUCCUACGGGAGGCAGCAGUGGGGAAUUGUUCGCAAUGGGCGAAAGCCUGACGACGCAACGCCGCGUGGAGGAUGAAGGUCUUCGGAUUGUAAACGGCUAACUCUGUGCCAGCAGCCGCGGUAAUACAGAGGGGGCAAGCCUUGUUCGGAAUUACUGGGCGUAAAGUGCGUGUAGGCGGCCUGUUAAUUCGAACGUGAAAUCCCUGGGCUCAACCCAGGAACUGCGUCCGAUACCCCCUGGCUUGGAUCCGGGAGAGGGAUGCGGAAUUCCAGGUGUAGCGGUGAAAUGCGUAGAUAUCUGGAGGAAGACCGGUGGGGAAGGCGGCAUCCUGGACCGGUAUUGACGCUGAGGCGCGAAAGCCAGGGGAGCAAACGGGAUUAGAUACCGCGGUAGUCCUGGCCUUAAACGUUGAAUGUUUGGUGUGGCGGGUAUCGAUCCCUGCCGUGCCGAAGCUAACGCAUUAAACAUUCCGCCUGGG